GGUCCCGUAGCUCAGAUGGAUAGAGCAGAGGUUUCCUAAACCUUUGGUCGGCAGUUCGACUCUGCCCGGGACCA
rnacentral:tRNA from 1 species